AUGUGCGUUGGGAGGUGGUGCACCCCCACACACACAAUCCCUACGCGCAGGCGCACUGCCCCCGCACCGCAUGCGCAGUUGGAGGCGGCGACGCAGCGCCUGCGCAGUGCGGCCCCGGGCAGGCGAGCGGGGUCUUUCCCUCUCAGUCCCCCCCUCGACCCCCUCCACCCUCCUCCCCGUCCGUCUCCGCUUCCUGCGUGCGUGGGCCCGGAGCGGGCGGGGUUUUCGGGAGCGCGGGCGCCGUCGCGGCUGAUAAGGCGGAACGGGGGGGAGCCCUACCGCUACCGGGAUGAGCGACGGCAGCCGACCGGGCCUGAGGCGUCCAUGACAGAGCCUGUCCAGGAGCAGAUCCGUCUGGAGAUCCACCCUUCAGCAGCUGGAGAAACAUUAGCUCCAUGCACUUCUAGGUCCUGCCUGUAUUUGUUCUGCCUAAAUUGCCUGGCUGCCUGCCCCAUGUCCUUGCCCACUGCUGGGUGAGCGGAGGAGCCUCAGGGUUGAGCAGAGUCCCCCAAAUCCUCCUCCCCAUCUGGGAUUGCAGGAGCAUCCCAGGAUGCUUGCAGGGCGGAGGGUUCCCAUUGGGAAGGCAUGGGCAGAUUUAUGUGAGCAAGGAACAGAAAUUAUUUCCCUCCCUCCUGCCAUGCUUCCCUUUGGAAAACCCCUCAUCCCUGCAGUGGAGGGAGCUUUAAAGGCAAGAUCAGAGGUUUCAAAACUAGGCUGGAGGUUUGGGAGUUAGGCAGGCACUGGGACUGAUCCAAGGGGAUUGGAAGGGAGCGGGAGCUCCAUUGAGAUAACACUGUGUCCAGGGAAUUUGUCUUAGGCUGCUCCAGCUCUUGUCUUGCUUUGGAUGCAGCUGGAAAACCCCAAACCCUUGUGCCUGGCUGUAAAUUUAUGGGGCUGGGUUUUAUUUUACUCUGAUUAAAGCCAGGGGAUGGUGGGGUCAGCAAGCGCAAGGUGACUUUGGGGAAACCAAGGUGGGUACAAUCCCUUCCAGCCAUUGCUGGGAUGUGGCAUGUUCCCUUGUCCUGCUGCCUUCUGUCACCCAGUGCAGUGGGAUUUUGGAGUCCAGGGAGUUAAUCCUGUCAGGUGACUCCAAUUAAUUUUUCUCUAGCUGUUUGUUUUGCAAGGGACCAUGCCCCCCCCCCCCCCCCCCCCCCCCAAGCUUGUCCAACCCUCCCAAGGUUUUUUAAUCCCGUGUUGUGCAGCAACCAGGUGAAGGGACAAUGCCAACAAACCUGCUCCAUCCCGGCAUCUCCAGGUUUGCAAGGCCUCCAUGCUGAAUUUUAAUUUUAGGGGUGCAGUUUUUUGGGGAAACUGGUGCAGCAGAGGAGUUUUUAAUCAGCAUGUGGUGGUGGCUUUGUGCUGAAACCAGCUGCCUCCCCUCGAGGGAGGGGAAAGAAGAGCAUCAGGAGCUUUGCUGGUUUUGAGC
rnacentral:lncRNA from 1 species